UCUUGUAGCAAUACAAGUGAAGACCUAGUGGCGAACGGGUGAGGAACACGUGAGAAAUUUGCCCCGAACUUUGGGAUAACAGUUGGAAACGACUGCUAAUACCGAAUGCCGUUAUGAAGUGGCAUCACUAUGUAACGAAAGAAUUUCGGUUCGGGAGAAUCUCGCGGCCUAUCAGCUUGUUGGUGAGGUAACGGCUCACCAAGGCUAUGACGGGUAGCUGGUCUGAGAGGAUGAUCAGCCACACUGGGACUGAGACACGGCCCAGACUCC
rnacentral:rRNA from 1 species